UUUUCCGGAGGAGGGACACAGAAAACAAAUUUUUUUCCUCUGCAAAAACUUUUCCAGGGCGGCCGGGAAGACGUCGCUUCCUGUCUAGAGCUUGCGGGUCGUGUUGUCCUGCCCAGAGAACGCGGGGUCGGGGCUCUGAGGGUCUCGGCCUCUCCUGGGGGGCCCUUCCCCCGCCUUGUCCCUUGAAAAUUCAGCCCAGCCUCCUGGCAGGGGUCCUGAGGGUCCCCAGGGGCAGUUGUUCUAACGGGUGUCUCCUCCGUCCCAGGGCAUCCUGUGGGACAGGUGAGAGACGGACCGCUGGGAUAAGAGCAGGACGGAGUCCCACCGGAUGCUGAUCGUGAGCAUUGUUAUCAGUGUUGUCGUGCUGGUCCUUGCUGGGACGGGCACAGCUGGAUACUUCCACAUCUGGACAGCUUGGAGAGAGAAGCCUUGCGGUGCUCCGGUGAGUGUCAGUGUGAUAGACCUGACCCAGAGCUGGCUACAUCUAGAGCCCAUCAUGCCCAGAGCCACCCGCACCCCAGUCCUGGGUGAGGGGCUGCACUGUGCCCUGGGAGGUGGCAACAUAGAAGAAGAAAGGAAGCCUUGCAGUGCUCCGGUAAGCGGAGCCUGCGAUGACUGUGAAAGCUUGGCUGGACCUGCAUGUAAAAUCUAAAUGACCAAAUAAAAAUAACAGUGCAUCUUGCACAAGAAUGCAAGAUCAUGGCUUGGACCAUGCAAAAGAAAGCAAUCCCAAUUAAUUUAAUCUUCUGUGCUAGUUCGAAAUGUACCCAGAGUUUUAUUAUGCCAAAUCAUCAUAGCGUUUGUAAUCACUUGAAAUGUUAAUAGCUAGGAAAGAAACCCUCCUGUGAAAAAGAGAGUGGCUGGGGAAAAACUGGGUUUUGGUGACAAGACUGUCACAAGAAGAUCAGUCUCCGUUAAUGGUUGCAACCCAUCAGGCAUAGAAGUGGAGCUUGCGGCACCCAGGAAUACCAGACCCCUGCCAUAAGAUAAUAACAGUCAUAAUGAAGGCCAGGGCAAGAGUGGAUGAGGAUGGAGAAGCGCUAUCAAGAAGAACAAAUAGUUGCUCCGCUGGUGGUUGCCAUCCACUAGGCAUUGAGUUAGAUAGACCUCAACCCUCUACCUCACCUGAACCAAAAAAUAAAAUUGAUGGUUCCUCAAAAAGGAAAAUUGUUGGUAGAGAGCGGACACACUCAUCACAUGUAUAACAAAGCAAUGAGAGGGGCCCAGACUGCCUGAGCUGGUGUAACCAAUGCCAGGAGCUUGGGGAAUAAACUGGAGGAACUGGUCCUCCUGCUAAACAAGAAUGACUAUGAUCUCAUAGGGAUAAUGGAGACCUGGUGGGACUCCACCUAUGACUGGGCCACAGGUAUAGACGGCUAUACCUUGUACAGGAGAGACUGUGUAGACAAAAGGGGCAGGGGUGUAGCAUGCUAUGUCAAGGAAAGCUACACAUCCCUGCAAGCUGACAUUGGCGACCAAGGUAGACGACUAGAGACUCUGGGUUAAAAUUUGUGGUGAACAAGGCACAGGAGACAUAGUGGUGGGAGUCUACUACAGACCUCCUACCCAGGAUCAAGAGCUCGACCAGGAAUUCGCCAAGGAACUGGCUGAGGCUGCACGCUCCCGGUGCAUGGUUGUCAUGGGAGACCAACUACCCUGACAUCUUGUGGGAAGAGCACUUGGCCAAAUCUGAACGGUCGCAAAGCUUCCUUGUGUGUGGAUGAACUCUAUCUGACUCAAGAAGUCUGUGGACCGACAAGAGGCAAAGUGCUGCUCGACCUGGUUCUAGCAACAGGGGAUGACUUAAUCAGUGACCUAACAAUCCAAGGGAAGCUGGGAGACAGUGACCAUGAGCUGAUCACCUUCACCAUCUGCCGUAAAGCUGGCAAGUCAGUCAGCAAUGCAGAAGUCCUUGACAUCAGGAAAGCUUACUUUGACAAGCUCAGGAGGCUUGUUGGAAAGGCCCUAAGGGACCACAAUCCAAAGGCGAUGGGAGUUCAGGACGAGUGGUUGCUCCUCAAGGGAGCGAUCCUGGAAGCACAAGCAAUGUCUAUUCCGUCUCAGAGGAAAGGCAGCAAAAGGGCACAGCAGCCCCCUUGGCUCUGCAGAGAACUAGUGGACCUCCUGUGUCUAAAAAGAAAGACCUACAAAGGAUGGAGGAUGGGAUCCACCUCCAAGGAGGAAUACUCUGCACUGGUCUGGACCUGUAAGGAGUGAACCAGGAAAUUCAAGGCUGCAACUGACCUCCAACAGGCUUCACAUAUCAAAGACAAUAAAAAGUCCUGUUUUAGAUACAUGGGGAGCCAGAGGAAAAGCAAGGGCAACAUUGAACCCCUGCUAAACCAUACGGGACAGCUGACAACUGACGCCCAGGAAAAAGCCAACCUGCUUAAUGGGUAUUUUGCAUCAGAUUUUCACCAGCCCCAGGGGACGGCCCUGUUCAAUACGGUACGGGACGGCCAGGGUGAGGGAGAAUUGUUACCCUUCAUCAAUGUUGACCAUGUGAAGGAACACCUUGAGAGGCUGGACACCUUCAAGUCAGCUGACCCAGGCAGUUUACACCCCAGAGUACUGAAGGAGCUGGUGAGCAACAUAGCUCAGCCCCUGGCACGGAUCUUUGAGAACUCGUGGCGUUCAGGUAAAGUGCUCGACGAUUGGAAGAAGGCCAGUGUGGUGCCUAUCUUCAAGAAAGGGAGGAGAGUAGAUCAAGAACUACAGGCCCAUCAGCCUGACCUUUAUCCCAGGGAAGAUCCUGGAAAAAAUUAUCAAAGAGGCCAUUCUUGAUAACUGGCUGAUGGCAACAUCCUGAGGGGUAGCCACACGGGUUUGUUGUGGGUAAGUCUUGCCUGACCAAUCUCAUCUCCUUCUAUGACUAGGUGACCUAUCACCUGGACAAGGGAGAAGAGAUUGACGUUAUAUAUCUUGUUUUUAAAAAAGCCUUCUAUCUGGUAUCCCAUGAUCAUCUCAUAGAAAAACUGGCCAACUGCAGCAUCGGCUACAUCACAGUCCAAUGACUGGGGAAUUGGCUCCAAAGUCGGACCAAGAGAGUGGUAGUUGACUGAAGUCAAUCGUUGUGGUGCACCGUGACCAGUGGGGUCCCUCAAGGCUCCGUCUUUGGGCCUGUAAUCUUUAACAUCUUUAUUAAUGAUGUGGAUAUUGGUAUCAGAAGCGGACUGGCCAAGUUCACCGAUGACACCAAACUUUGGGGUAAAGCGUCUGCACCCGAGGACAGGAGGGUGAUCCAGGCUGACCUGGACAGGCUCAGAAAAUGGGCAGACAAAAACCUGAAGGCGUUCAACACCGAAAAAUGCAAAGUACUCCACCUUGGGAAGAAAAACCCGUAGCAUGCUUAUAGGCUUGGCAGUGCUAUGCUUGCUAGCAUCACGGCCAAAAGGGACUUGCGGGUCAUGAUUGACCACAAGAUGAAUAUGAGCCACCAAUGUGAUGUUACAGCUAGUAAAGCAAGCAAAACUCUGGCUUGCAUGCAUAGAUGCUUCUCAAGCAAAUGCCAGGAUGUCAUCCUCCCGCUGUACUCAGCCUUGGUGAGGCCGCAGCUGGAGUACUGCAUCCAAGUCUGGGCUCCACAGUUAAAAAAGGGCAUGGAGAAGCUUGAGAGAGUGCAGAGGAGAGCCAUGCACAUGAUCAGAAGGCAGGAGAACAGGCUCUAUGAUGAGAGGCUGAGAGCCAUGGGACUCUUUAGUCUGGAAAAACACAGGCUCAGGGGGGACCUGGUGGCUGCCUAUAAGUAUAUAAGUGGUGUGCACCAGGAUCUGGGGGAACACCUGUUCACCAGAGCGCCCCAAGGGAUGACAAGGUCCAAUGGUCACAAACUCCUCCAUGACCGUUUCAGGCUGGACAUAAGAAAGAACUUCUUUACUGUCCGAGUUCCCAAGGUCUGGAACAGACUGCCGCCGGAGGUGGUGCAAGCACCUGCUUUGGACUCCUUUAGAAGAGGCAUUUGGACAUUUAUCUUGCUGGGAUCCUUUGACCCCAGCUGACUUCCUGCCCUGGGGCGGGGGCUGGAUUCGAUGAUCUUCCGAGGUCCCUUCCAGCCUUAAUGUCUGUGCAAUCUAUGAAACUAGAGAAAGCAGAAAACUACAUAUAUGAGACCUGGAAGCUAACUCCUCUGCUCCAGCCCGUUGUUUUGAGGCAAAUUUGCACGCUUGCAGAGCAGCCUCAUCACAACAGAACCUCCUUACCCAGGAGAAUCUUUCUACCACCAAUCCUCAUGUGCAAUAUGGAACAUCUUAACAAGAAAGAAGCAAAAUUCAACAUCCUGCUUCCCAUCAGAUACCUCUGAGAUAAAUAGAGGGCUGCAACUUCUAUCCAAGCCUAAUUUGCAUGAAAUUAACUUUUCUACCCAGGAGAACUUACACCACUCUCCAGCUCUUCUGUGCAAUAUGAAGUUUAAUUUCUACCUAGGAUGAAUUUUACAAUCUUUGCAUUCUCCUUUGCCCGAGGAAGGGUACAUGAGCCUGACAGCUUGCAGAUAAAUAAUUUUUUUUGCAACUAUCUAGUUGGUCUAAUACAAGAUAUCGCCUCCACCACACUGACUCCAGAGGACUAAAUAUGCAUUCCAAAGCAGAACCAGUAAGAGGUGAAAGACUGAAAUGCACUAAAUACCCUUGCUCCUGCCUUUUGUUUCAAGACAAAUUUGCAGGUUCCCAGAGCACAGAGAUGCCUCAACACAAGAGAAAUUCUUUAUCCAGGAGAGCCUUCCAUCUACCCAUCUUACUGUGAAAUAUGAAACAUCAUAACCAGAGGGAAACAUAAUUCAACAUCCUGCUUGCCAUUAGACAACUCCAAGGUAAAUAGACUGCUCUUUUUUUGGAGCCUAAUUUGCACAAAAUGAACUUUUCCAACCAGGAGAUCUCACACCACCUUUGGGUCUCCUGUGACACAUGAAUUUUCAUUUCCACCUAAGAGAAAUUCUGCAAUUUUUGCAUUCUCCUAGGCCUGAAGAAGGGUGUGUGUGCCCAAAAGCUUCCAAAUAAGGACUUUGUUUUUGCAACUAUCCAGCUGGUCUAAUCUCUACCAAUUGUUCUGAUUCCUAAAUGCAGAACGUGAGGAACAUGAGCAUGUUAUACAUGACUAUAAACAAUUCUGAGUUAACACAUCCCACCUUAAUUAAGGCAUUCUCAAACAGCCAUUCAGUGUCUGCCUGAGGUUUUGCAAAUGUCUCCAUCAUGCAGACUAUUGUCAAUGUAAAUCCUACCCCAUUGUUAAAACAGCUACCCAAUGAUCAAUGCCCCAAGGUAUCCCGAUCAGUCAAUCAAAACCCACCACAUUUGAUUGACUUCUAACCUCGGGGCCGAUCACAAACUUGCAAAAACAAAUUUCACACCUAGACAAUCCAAAACAGAAUCCGCACAGUUGGCAAUUAUAAUGUGAUGGUCCCACCCUCAGCUUUGUCUGGACUUUAAUCGAGCAGCUAUCAAGGGGAAAUGCAUUGAAGUGACACAAUUAAACAGUAUAAGAGCAAAACAGAAUUCCAGAAAGGUGUGCACUCCAGGAGAAACAGAGAAAUCACUACAACAUUGCACCCAGCUCUUCACAGCAAAGGACCCCACUCAGUGAAAGCUGUAAAGAAACUGCUUCCUGCCCUGUCUUCGUGAGAAAACACUCCUUCAGCUAAACAUGUACUCAGACUUUGGUGAUAGAUCGUUUAUUGAAUAUUGAAAAGGAGUCUUAAAAGUUUUAUAGGGUGUUGCGGUAUUAUUCUUGAAGUUCUUCUGGUCUGAAUCAAAUAAGGUGUUACGUCAAUACUUAAUUGCACUACAUUUAAAUUCUGCCUUUAACUGCAACACUUGCACCUUGUCCUCAGGGUCCUGUAGAAGAAGAGACGGAACAGCACACAGCAGUGUGCUGCAGCUCCUUUCCAUCUUCCAAGCACCUUUGUUUUUGCUUGGAAUUUGCCAGAGCAAGGCUGUGGGACAGCAAGUAGCUUGCAUGUGUAAUUAAAACCACUUGGCUGCUGCCUGCCUGGGCAAUGUCUGUUGCGGGGGGUUGGGGAU